GCGAACGCUGGCGGCAGGCCUAACACAUGCCAGUCGCACGAACCUUUCGGGGUUAGUGGCGGACGGGUGAGUAACACGUGGGAACGUGCCUUUAGGUUCGGAAUAACUCAGGGAAACUUGUGCUAAUACCGAAUGUGCCCUUCGGGGGAAAGAUUUAUCGCCUUUAGAGCGGCCCGCGUCUGAUUAGCUAGUUGGUUGAGGUAAUGGCUCACCAAGGCGACGAUCAGUAGCUGGUCUGAGAGGAUGAUCAGCCACAUUGGGACUGAGACACGGCCCAAACUCCUACGGGAGGCAGCAGUGGGGAAUCUUGCGCAAUGGGCGAAAGCCUGACGCAGCCAUGCCGCGUGAAUGAUGAAGGUCUUAGGAUUGUAAAAUUCUUUCACCGGGGACGAUAAUGACGGUACCCGGAGAAGAAGCCCCGGCUAACUUCGUG
rnacentral:rRNA from 1 species